CCCACAAAAACAUGUAAAAGCCCAAAAAAGGGGAAGUUAUCUCAUCUUCUCCACCGUUUGGUAGAGGACGAGUUUGUGAGAAGAUCCGGCAUAAAAUUCCCGGAUCUCGCGGAUAUUGACAUUAGAAUCGGCGAUUCUUGCAUUCCACUAUCCCACAAAAUUUGUGAGGGAGCACCAGAAACUCCUUGGUGGCGGUAAAUCGAGGUCUCGGACCAGCACAGGAAAAGAAUCUAUAUAUAUACGGAGGAAGGUGAGGAUUCAAGAAAAUGGGAUGAAUUACUACCUGAUGCACUAGGCCUAAUAUUCAAGAAUCUCUCACUAUGUGAGGUUCUAACAGUUGUUCCAGGAGUUUGCAAAUCGUGGGGACGAGCAGCCACGGGGCCUUACUGCUGGCAAGAGAUCGACGUUGAGGAAUGGAGUCGAAAUAGGAAGCCGGAGGUCGUGGAUAGAAUGCUCCGAUUGCUAAUAGCAAGAAGCCGUGGCUCUCUCCAAAAGCUCACUGUCUCUGGCCUCUCCUUGGACAAAACCCUUUUGUUCAUAGCAAUCAUGGUCGAUCUCUGUGAAGUGUGAGACUGCUGCGAAAUACACGACGCAGUAGUGGGGAAGGCUGCUGCAAUGCUGUGUGUACGCAAACGACCGACAUAUGAGGAGUGGUGAAAGAGAUACAACGAUACCAGACGGACUUCCAUUGCAUGUGAGCUUUCGCUUUCCCUUCGAAGCCAUUGAAACAACUUCAGUCGGAGGAUGCUAUUCAGCAUGGAUUUGCAAUGAAAGCAAAGGAUGGUGCAAGUGCUUAUAUGAAGGGAAAGGGGAGAAGUUGGCGCCAAUGCGAGAAGAUUUCCGCGCCAAGCUGAAGAUUUGCAAAGACGACGGAGGAUAAAGGGGACAUUACAUCUUAAAAAGUGGGGGCAUUUUUGUAUUCACGGGGCAUAAUAUAACUAUCCACUGUAAUGACUAACCCUACCAAACAAUGGAUUAAGUUACAAAAAAUUUCUACCAAA